UACGAGGGGGGCAAGCGUUGUUCGGAAUUAUUGGGCGUAAAGGGCGCGUAGGCGGUGCGGUAAGUCACCUGUGAAACCUCUAGGCUCAACCUAGAGCCUGCAGGCGAAACUGCCGUGCUUGAGGGUGGGAGAGGUGCGUGGAAUUCCCAGUGUAGCGGUGAAAUGCGUAGAUAUUGGGAGGAACACCAGUGGCGAAGGCGGCUCACUGGACCGGUUCUGACGCUGAGGCGCGAAAGCGUGGGGAGCAAACGGG
rnacentral:rRNA from 1 species